GGUAAUAGUCCUUCCUUUUAUAUAAAUGCACAAAUACAUGCAUGUGUGUGUGUGCACAUAUGCAUUUGAAGAUAAGUAUUUACCUGCUCCUGUUGUACGUCCUCGACUCCAAUCACUAUAUACUGAACCUCCUUCAUGCGAGGCUAUCACUCGAUACAGGAUCCUUCCUGAGGAUGGUAUAACUUCGCGGGAGCCCUCCCAGAAAGACUCCUGUGUUAUCUCCAAUAACAGUACUACCAUUCAGGAUGGCAGAGGAACCUAGAGAAGAGGAGAUGAGAAAUACACCUUCACCAGGAUACUCUAGUUUUACUAGCUCAGCAAAUAAUAAAAUCCUUCACCAGCC
ensembl:lncRNA USH2A-AS2 USH2A antisense RNA 2